GCCUUCGUGGUGUAGUGGUCAGCACACUGAGCCGGUAUUUCAGAGGUCCUUGGUUCGAUCCCCGGCGAAGGCA
rnacentral:tRNA from 1 species